GCAGAGACUCAACCUGAAGAAAGAAUAAAACUUAACUGUAAAUGAAUCUGAGUUCAUGUGUGAAAAUAACAGAUAUUCAUGUCAGCACAGACUCAUAACAUGGAAGAUAAAUAUGAAAUCAGACAUGUUGGACUAAAGACGAGUCCUGAUUCAGUAACAAUAGAUUAUUUGGACCCGGUCUCUGUCCUGCAGAUCAGUUUAG
rnacentral:misc_RNA from 1 species